rnacentral:rRNA from 1 species
AUUGAACGCUGGCGGCAGGCCUAACACAUGCAAGUCGAACGGUAACAGGAAGAAGCUUGCUUCUUUGCUGACGAGUGGCGGACGGGUGAGUAAUGUCUGGGAAACUGCCUGAUGGAGGGGGAUAACUACUGGAAACGGUAGCUAAUACCGCAUAACGUCGCAAGACCAAAGAGGGGGACCUUCGGGCCUCUUGCCACCGGAUGUGCCCAGAUGGGAUUAGCUAGUAGGUGGGGUAACGGCUCACCUAGGCGACGAUCCCUAGCUGGUCUGAGAGGAUGACCAGCCACACUGGAACUGAGACACGGUCCAGACUCCUACGGGAGGCAGCAGUGGGGAAUAUUGCACAAUGGGCGCAAGCCUGAUGCAGCCAUGCCGCGUGUAUGAAGAAGGCCUUCGGGUUGUAAAGUACUUUCAGCGGGGAGGAAGGGAGUAAAGUUAAUACCUUUGCUAAUUGACGUUACCCGCAGAAGAAGCACCGGCUAACUCCGUG